UCCUCAUAAACCCGUGUGAAUAAAAUUAUUGAUAGUAUACGAAGACGAGCAUUUGUUUUAUGCAUUGCACGUUCAUGUAUUCAUUACAUAUAUUAAAGUGUGUGGUGUACACGUGUUAGCGCUGUUAAAUCAGUGUUAUAUAAACGGGAUGUGUAUUAUAAAUAAAAUGGUGAUGGAUCAUUACGAGCUUGCCAUUUCUAGCGUGAUUGUGAAACGUGUAUUUUUCAUGACACCUGUGUUCUGAUAUAAAAAGACAUUUGAAUCACACAGAUACUUAACAGUGAACAUAGGAAGAAAAUGAAGAUUGUGCCAAUCGUUUUAGGAAGUCUCAUGAUUGUUUUACUCUGCCUGUUAGUGUUUCAAGUGAUAAAUUCUCACAGAAAUAUGUCGGACAGUGAUAUCCUUAUUCCACCCGUCCAGUCGCGACGCCAAGGUCAGGAUGGAACGUUCACAAUCUCGAAGACACAAGGCGUUCAUAAUGCCUCAGCUUCUAAAACUACCCAAGCAGACCGGAGAAACAACACUGAUGUCAUGAUUCAAAUACAUGUACUUCGUGACCGUGGUUAACGAAGAAGUCAUGAAUUUCAACUUGCCCUAUACUAUCAGUAUCAUGUCGUUUUGAACAACAACUCAACUUUCAGACAGAUAUUUGAAUGGUGUUCAGCAUAGCCCUCAUCAACUCUAUGGCGGAAUCACAAACCGUGUGCAGCCAAUCGAUUCGUGUGAUCAUUCUAUUAUUUUCAUGUUUUAUUUAGUUAUGUUUAAUUAUUGUUCUCAUGUGUGCUUGACAAAAGCUAUCAAACGUCAGUUUAGAUCGAUCCAUGCGUUCUUUCUAUUGUUUAUAUGCUUUAAUUUCGUUAGCUUUAUAUAUAUUUCUUAUUAUUGACUACCAACAAUGUAUCAUACGUCUGUUUCAUCCAUGACGAAAACUGUAUUUCAUUAAAAAGGAACAAGUAUAAUAUCAAGAUGCAGAAGAAUUGUAUUUUGUCUUCAAUCUCUAGUGGUCACCAAUUAAGACUUUUAAUUAACCUCAAUUAUUUAAUAAUUAAAACACUAACAUACUAAAUUCAAAUAUUUCGUAAUAUGUUGUUUGACUACAUUGGCGAAAUGCUAAUUCAGUGGGACCUUAUGAUAGCAAUAAAACUAAAACGUUUUGUUUUUUGCAUAUUUAAACAAGAUGUAUUAUCGAAUCCCGGGGAUAUAAUGUUCAUGCAAUGCAAGGCCACUCUUUGCAACACUGAAUUUGGGUCAGUCGUUCCAAUUUACUGAGUACGUAUUUUAUAAAUGAAUGAACUUUCAAGGUUUUUAAAUGUGCAUUGUACAUCUGAUAGACAACUUUGUGUUUCUUUUCAAGACUGCCUUGUGAAUAUGUUUAAAUAAAUACUUUUAAAUAAUUUAUUAGAAUUGCGACACAUAAAGGGGUUUCGCGGAAUGAAAUGAGUGGGAGAUCAAGUUAAUUUAAACAUGAUUAUUUCGGUGCAUUUGUUGAUGGUAACCAUUGUUAUCGCAGGAAUUUAUUAUUUAUGCCACUAUUUUAUUAUGUGAUAUUGUAACAUGGUUUUUACAAUAAACAUGCUCUAUAAUAUUGAUUGACGGAAAAAGGCAUCAAACAAAUACUUGAAUACAAAUAUUGUUCAACAUCUUUAAACCUAUUAAUUUUAGUUUUAUUGAAUAUACAAACGUUGGCUUAUCUCAGUCUGAGCCAAUCUUUUAUUUUUUUUCCCCUUUUUGGCUCGAAAAAAAUGGGUGCGCAUAUACAUAGUUGCACGCUAUACAUGGUUGAUUACGGUACGCAAUUUAUGGCGUAUCUCGAGUGACGUAAUUUCUGUGACGAAACAUACUUUUUUGAGCAAGACUCUCUAGAUUUUAAAGGGAUCUUUUCACGCUUUGGUAAAUUGACAAAAUUGAAAAAAAGUUGUUUCAGAUUCGCAAAUUUUUGUUUUAGUUAUGAUAUUUGUGAGGAAACAGUAAUACUGAACAUUUACCAUGGUCUAAUAUAGCCAUUAUAUGCAUCUUUUGACGAUUAUAAAACCUAAAAAGUAUAAAGCGUUGCAACGCUAAACGAUUGGAUAAUUUGGAGAGUUCUGUUUUUGUCGUUACAUUUUGUGAAACUACGAAGAUUGCUUAUAUAAGGUAUAAAAUACUUCAAAUAUAUGUACUCGGCGGAAUAGCUCAGUAGGCUAAAGCGUUUUUACUUCAGGACUCUGGCAGGACUCCAGGGGUCACUGGAUCGAAACCUGGUCCGGGCAAUGUUCUUUUCCUUUUUUUAAUUUUAUUCUUGAUUUUUUACUGGAGCUUUUACGAUCCAAUGUUUACAUUUAUCGAUAUAAAGCAUUAAAUGAAUAAGUUAAAAAAUGCCAAAAUCUGUGAAAAGGCCCCUUUAAGGGAAACAAUUUCGACGUGGUGGGUUUUCAAUAGUAUAUACGUUUUAACGUUUCGAACGAAUCCAAGUAGGGCAACAGUUAAACGUAUUUUGGAUUGUAUGUUUGUUAAACAUGAUUGUAAAGGAAUAAAAAAAACUAUCGCGCU